AAAAAUUUUAGAGCCGUUUGAACACGCAAAAUGUGGCCUUUUUGUUGGCACGCGUCCGUGUUCGAAGGAAACUGGAACGAGCGAUUUUUGUUACAUCACGCAAGUGAGUCGGGGUAUUCUAUAAUUUAUUCGACUGGUACUAACUCUUGGCGCAUAUAGUCCAUAUACAAAUAUACUAGAUUUGUGAUAAAAAAAUAUAUGCCUUUUUACUAUGUUGCAGCUAACUGUACCAAUAAACCAUGUUUAAAAGAUGGAAUAAGUUUACACAAUAUUCCAUACUUCAAUAACGAACGCGCGGAAGCUAAAAGACGAAGAAAAGUAUGGGUUGGUUUUAUAUCCGCAAAACGUUUGUUUGUGCCGUCAAAGCUAGACUUCGACUAUAUGCUCGGAUCAUUUUUGACCAGAGGAUUACGAGAGGCGAUUCUUUUCGUGUCUUUCGUUGACGGGGCUCGGCAAGCCUAACUAUCCGAAGCUAUUAAAGACUGACGAUAAUUUGCGUUGUUUUGAUUAUUCAAUUUCGGUUUUACGGGCCCGCUAAUAAUAUAAAUAUUUUGUAAUACCGAAAUGAAAGAUGCAAAUCUGAAGACACAAGCUUGAAAAUAACACUCUAAAUAGUGUUUUCGAUUCCGGUUCGAAUAAGACUAUUACGAAAAAGAUAUUUCCAAAGGGGCCGAAUUUAUGUUCGGCGAAAGAUAUGACUAGUUUACAUUGUUCGAGACUAUAAAUUGAGUAAUAUAAUGAAUUAUGACACCGCUUGACCUAUCAAAGUCAAAGACAAAGGUCAUAAAUAGCUAUACCAUCUGACUAAAACUAUAGCCUGUAUCUGACUAAAAGUCUAAAACUAUCGCUGGGAAUUAGGAGAUUUUGUUUCACUGAAUCGAGUCGUAGUAUUUUUAUCUUCACAGCAUGCACCGAACCGGAGAUAUAAACCUUGCAAAGCCAUAGAACGUCUACGUUUAUAGCAGAGGGCCAGGCAAGGAGCUUAACAUGCGCCAAAUCUGAGACGCAGACUAAAAACAGUCGCUAAUAAUGGGAGACUAGUUUUAUUUUAUUUUUUUCGUGUCCCCUAGCUUUGUUUACCAACAACAAUCCAUAGUUUUACUCGUGAAGUGAAAUUGUGAUAAUAGCGGCAGUUUUUCGUCACGUCCGCGUCGUGUAGAUUUGGUGGUUUUAAUGAUAAUACUAGGGACCUGGCGUGUUGCUGAUCAGCAUCUUCCAACACAACAUAUAUUAACCAGGUAUAAAAUUCGCACUGGAAUCAUCGGACUGAUCGCUACUGUCGGAUUCUGUUGUCGACAUGAUACUUUAUAGAACCAUGAUAGAACUUAGAAUAUAAAAACACUUCAGCCGUUCAGCGAUCAAAACCUUCGAGCUGAUCAAAACUGAUAAAAGAG